UACGAAGGGGGCUAGCGUUGCUCGGAAUCACUGGGCGUAAAGCGCACGUAGGCGGCUUUCUAAGUCAGGGGUGAAAUCCUGGAGCUCAACUCCAGAACUGCCUUUGAUACUGGAGAGCUUGAGUCCGGGAGAGGUGAGUGGAACUCCGAGUGUAGAGGUGAAAUUCGUAGAUAUUCGGAAGAACACCAAAGGCGAAGGCACCAUCCUGGGGAGUCACUGACGCUCGGGUGCGAAAGCUAGGGGAGCGAACGGG
rnacentral:rRNA from 1 species